rnacentral:rRNA from 1 species
UACGAAGGGGGCUAGCGUUGCUCGGAAUCACUGGGCGUAAAGGGCGCGUAGGCGGCCAUUCAAGUCGGGGGUGAAAGCCUGUGGCUCAACCACAGAAUUGCCUUCGAUACUGUUUGGCUUGAGUCUGGUAGAGGUUGGUGGAACUUGCGAGUGUAGAGGUGAAAUUCGUAGAUAUUCGCAAGAACACCAGUGGCGAAGGCGGCUUACUGGUCCGGAACUGACGCUGAGGUGGCGAAAAGCGGUGGGGAGCAAACAGG